AUGGAGCUGGCAGUGGUGCUAGACAUGGGGCAGAGGGAUGUAGCUUUCUAUCUACAUCGGUGCGAGGAAGACAAUAACUGGAAGUCUUCUAAGAGCAAAGUCAAAAAUUUUAGAACCCAAAUUUUAAUUGUAUUGUCUCUCCAAAAAGUCCUCAAAACCCUGAAAACUGUGAAAAAAAGUCACCGUCCGAACCUUUCCUUAAACCCUACACCUUACCAAGAAAUAACACAAAUCAUCUCUAAAACCCAAAACCCUUCUUCACCUUCCAAACCCAAACCACUCAAACUCAACACCACCACCACCACUUUCCUCUCCAAUCUCAACCCCACCACAAUCCUCCAUGUUCUCACAGACCCAGAUCUUAAAUCCUCUAAAUGCUUGUGUUUCUUCAACUUUCUCCUCCACAACCCAUCUCUCUUGUCCUUCAAGCCUGACUUGCAAGCCCAAUUGACACUAAUUUGCAGGCUUGUCAGAGAAAGAAGGUUCUCAGAUGCUGAGAAAAUGAUCAAAUUUGUCUUGGUUGGUGGAAAUCCCAGGUACCCAUUUUCUGUUAUUGCUGCUACAGUUGGGAAUUGUUGCAAUGAUGAAAAAGUUAUAGCCAAGCUUUUCAAUUCUAUGCUUAACGUUUAUUCGGAUUGUAAAAUGUUUGACUUAGUUUCGCGGGUUUUCGAUUAUAUGAAGGGUAAUGGAAUUGAGAUUGAUGAGAGGACUUGUACUGUUCAUUUACUUGCACUUAAAAAAAGUUAUGAGUGUUUGCAAUUGGUUUUGGACUUCUUUUAUUGGAUGGUUGAAUCGGGUAUUGAGGUUUCUGUGUAUUCUUUGACAGUGGUGGUGGAUGGGUUGUGUUGGAGUGGAGUGGGCAAGAGGGGCAGGGAGUUGGUGGAGGAGAUGAUUGGUAGAGGAAUUAAGCCCAAUGUUGUUACAUUCAAUGUAAUGUUGAAUGCUUGUGCCAAGAGGUGGAAUUUUGAGGAGCUGGAAUUGGUUUUGCUUUUGAUGGAGAAGGAAGGAGUGGCAUUCAGUGACCAUACAUAUAAAGUUUUGAUCGGUGGGUUCACGAGUUCUGGCAAGAUUGACAAAGCCAAAAAGUUGGUUUUGGAGAUGCAUGAUAAAGGAUAAAAGUGGCUACUCAUCUGUACAAUUUAGUUAUUAAUGGGUAUAGUAGAUUGGGGUUUAUGGAUGGUGCAAAGUCGAUGUAUGGUGAAAUGACUGAUAGAAGUAUUUUUCCAAACGCUGAUACGUAUUCCGCUCUGAUAAGUGGUCUUUGCAAGGCUGGGGAAAUGGGGCUAGCAAUGACAUAUGUGAAUAUGAUGCAGCGUAAAGGGAUAGAACUAGAUGAUGUUAUGUUUAAUUCUUUGUUUGAUGGUUUUUGUAAUAAAGGGAUGGUCGAUGAAGCUUUUGAGGUGCAAGUUAUGAUGGAGAAGAAAGGAUUUGCUGCUGAUUUAACUGUGUUUGACAAGAUAGUGAGUGGGCUAUGUAAGUUGAACCGGAUUGAGGAAGCAAAGAGGCUUCUGAAUGUGAUGGUUAAAAGAGGUGCAACCUCAAAAAUUACGAGUUUCACUACUUCAUUUGAUAUAUGAAGUAUACAGAGGCUUUUUGGUGGAAGGAAAGGGCUGUUUAGAGGAUGGAGCAAUGGGCAUGAGUUCUAAUAUAAAGCAUACUUUGUUAGAUGUGUAUUGAAGAGGAGGGAACAUAAAAUGUAGCCUAGAUGCUUGUAGAUGAGAUGAAAGACACGGAUUUUAGGCAGGACUGGACUCAUAUUCUUAAAUACCAGUUACUGGAAACUCUUUUGUUGUGAAAGGCAAAUGAUUCACUAAGCUAUUCUGUGAUAUGGUCUCCAAGAUGAGAAUGCAUACAAAACAGAGUUUUCAGGCUUGUUGACAGACUGGCAGUCAGAUGAAGCAUUGGACUCCCAGAGCUAGCUGGUUCACCCUGAAAUGCAUUGAGUUGCAAUAGUUGACUGGACAUGUAUGAUGAGAUAGAAUAGAAUUGCUGAAAGUGACAGGACCUUAUCACAUUCCUUUAUCUUGGGUUUCACUCUGCCAAUAUUUGACGGCUGUGAACAAGAGAAGCAUAUCCUUCUGGGAGUCAUAGUGUGAGCUAUUGUGCCUAUUGGAUAAGCAAGAAUAAUGUUGGAACCAAAUUGAAGUGACUGCAAAGAAGAUAUCCAAACCCCAACCUCUCCUACUCACUAAAUGUUUUUCCAGGAGCAACCCUGAGACCCCCCUCAUUGUUUUAACUUCGGCCAGCUGCAUAUCUAACGAGGAGAUUGUUUUGUCCAAUGUCUUGAAAGUAUCGAGACAUGAAUAUGCCAUAUAAAUCAAUUACAUAAUAUAGGAAGGUAAACAAUUGCAACAUGGAAGAUAUUGCUUGGAUUCUUUGAAAUAUUACAGAAUAUAGAAAGUAACAUGAUUAUAUCAUGUAUUUGUGAAA